rnacentral:rRNA from 1 species
GACGAACGCUGGCGGCGUGCUUAACACAUGCAAGUCGAACGGAAAGGCCUUUUCUGGUGUCCUCGGGUUGCGUACGGGUGGGUAACCCGUGGGUGAUCUGCCCUUCACUCUCGGAUAAGCCUGCUAAACUGGGUCUAUUACCUGAUAGGACCGCUCUUUCGUGUGUGGGUUGGCAAGUUUUUUCUGUGUAGGUUGAGCGCGCGGCCUCUGAGCUUGUUGGUGGGGGAUUGGCCUACCAAGGAGGAGAGCGGUAGCCGGACUGAGAGGUUGGACGGCCACAAUGGGACUGGGAAACGGCCCAGACUCCUAAGGGAGGCAGCAGUGGGGAAUAGUGAACAAUGGGCGAAAGCCUGAAGCAGCGACGACGCGUGGGGGAUGACGGACGAAGGGUUGAGAACUCUAAUCGCCAGGGACGAAGCGUUAUGAGAAGGUACCUGGAGAAGAAGCACCGGCUAAAUACGUG